UUGGGGUAGCCCCCAAAAUAUUGGGACAUAUAAAAAAAGACAACUCUGUUCCGCAGAGUAGCUGUUGACAUUAUAGUUGAGCAGGCACUUUGUUGACUCUAGAGAACCUCGGGCCAAUCGCACAUACCUGUGACGUCGACUUUGCAUUCGGAUGUCAUCCAUAUCAACUGCGCCUACCAUGGUGACCACAGGUAACGGGGAAUCAGGGUUCCAUUCCAUACAGGGACCCUGAGAAACGGCUACCACAUGCAAGGAAGGCAGAAGGCGCGCAAAUGACCCACUCACGACAUGGGAAGGUAGCAACGA